UACGUAGGGGGCUAGCGUUGUCCGGAAUCAUUGGGCGUAAAGAGCGCGUAGGCGGCCCGGAAAGUCGGAUGUGAAAACCCGGGGCUCAACCCCGGGCCUGCAUCCGAUACUCCCGGGCUGGAGGCAGGUAGGGGAGAUCGGAAUUCCUGGUGUAGCGGUGAAAUGCGCAGAUAUCAGGAGGAACACCGGUGGCGAAGGCGGAUCUCUGGGCCUGUCCUGACGCUGAGGCGCGAAAGCUAGGGGAGCGAACAGG
rnacentral:rRNA from 1 species